UAGUCGCUGGCAAAACUCGAAAGGGUUUGCGAGAGGAAAGUCCGGGCUCCAAAGAGCAAUGAUGCUAGAUAACGUCUAGUGAGGGAAACCUUAAGGAAAGUGCAACAGAAAAUAACCGCCAUCAAAAGAUGGUAAGGAUGAAAAGGCGAGGCAAGAGCUCACCGGCUGUAAGGUGACUUACGGCGUCAGUGUAAACCCCAUCUGGAGCAACACCUAAAAUGGAUAUUUAAACACUUGCUCGGUGGUCCAAAAUUGCGUGGCUUGAGCUAUAUAGUGAUAUAUGGCCUAGAUAAAUGACUAAUUUAAAUGACAGAACCCGGCUUACAGAUUUGC
rnacentral:RNase_P_RNA from 1 species